rnacentral:lncRNA from 1 species
GUACCGAGGCAGUGUACCAGGAAAAAAAGAGGAAUGGAUGCAGAGUAUCCUAGCAACUUCCAAAGGGACAAUGGGUGGGCGUUACGGCAUUGAUGACAUUAUGAGUCAUCUCACUGACUCUUGUGAGCCCAGAGAGAUCCAAUGCAGGGUGCCUCACUCCAUGCUCAAGUCACAGAUGUACCCGCCUUCAUCUGACUGAUACAGGCUAGAGCCAAUAUUCAAGGCCUGGUCAUUUUCCUCGCAAGGUGCCCAUUUCCUCUCAUGCCGUGCUUCCCUAACAGGAGGCUCCAGAGAGGCACCAACAGGACACCUGGGCUUCUUGCUGAUUAAUCUCGCAGUGUUAAACACUUCUGCGGAAUAAAACAAUGAUGUCAACAAACAAAAUGGAGAAUAUCUUGUAAGACCACUUUGUCCAACUGCACUGAAACAAGAGGGGUGAAGAGGCCCUGGAGCUGAAAUUUCAAACGUGAAGCUUGCUUAGCUUGCCUCGCCCAUGGCAUAAUAAUGUAGUGGCUUAAAUCUACCAACAGAUGAAGAAUCCGGCAACUCUGUCUUGUUUUCUGGUUUACUUUGAUAUGGCCCAGUGGUUCUCAGUGGGAGUGCUACUGCCCCCUAGGGGUGGCUAGAAAAUUUGUGGGGUGUGUUUCGGUUGUCACAAGAGGAGGGGGUGGCACUACUGGCAUUUAGGAGGCCCAAGCAUUGACAGUAGACAUCCUAUUAUGUCUGAGACCAAUGCGUACGACAAAGCAUUAUUCCACAUCCUGUUUAUGAUCAUUUGCACCUAGAAUCGACUUUGAAUUACAUGGAAAUUCAGUUAUCUUUGCAUUUGAUUUUAAUGCAUUUAAUUUUCCAGGAAUUCAACAACUGUGCACAGGAGAGAAGACUGUAUUUUUGGUUUGGAACACUGUCAAAAGGUGUUCACUAUUUUGGAAAAUGGCAGUGCCUGACAUCCCUGACAGAAGCGCUUCUCAUGGUGGUGUAGCCACAUGACACUUCUGUAUUAGCCUGGACUUACAGCUGUGGCUUUCAGUAGUGAUUCUACUUACAGUAAAAGGUAGGCUCUCUGUCUGUUGUGUGGACUAGCACAUCCCAAGCACCUACACAGGACCUGGAACAUAGAGGGCACCUGAUGAAUACACUGAGGCACAAAGAAGUUUAAAUAACCCACCCAAGGUCCCACCGCUGUUUUACAGCCUCCCAGAGAGCGGUCUUCCAAUCUCUGUUCAUGAAUUACAGAAUAAUGAAGUCUUAGAUGGGAAAUAACCUGAAAAACGUCCUCGUCUGUCCUCUUCACUUCUCCUACCCACGUAAUAACGAGUGGAUUAUUCUGGACAGUAGUUUUCAUACUACCUUCUCUGGAUCUCUUUCCUUCUAGAACUUUCUAUCUUUCAGAGUUAGUAGGUGGGGGGGCUUCACCUACUAGUAGGUUUUGAGGCUCCAACUCAGCUUCAACUAUAUCUCCUCUUUCAUCUGUUUAUAUAGCAGGAUACCAGGCAUGUUUCAUUUGAAUAAUUUUGGAAAAAGUUUGAAGGCUACUCUUCCAGAGGACCAGUGGCCUGCAUUGUAGCAGAGAGACGGGGUGAUCACUGUUAUUCAGACAUGCUUUCUUUACAACACACAACUGAGCAAACAAGACAGCAGGCAACUGCAUAUGCGACCACUUAUCCCUUUCCCGAUUUGCAUUUGUGGAAAACAAGUUUCAGAUUUAACAGCGAGUCUUUUACAACUCUGCUUGACUCCAUUAAUGACAGCUCAGUUUUUCAACGUUGCAAGAAAAAGAGCCAGAUAUCAUUCAGAGUGAUAAUGUGACAACCCAAAUGUGAGUCCUGGACUGAGAACAGAACGGAAGAUGAAAGGAAUUAAUGCUGUCUUUGGCUAGAACCUGAAGACAGCAGGUGGAAAGGCUGAUGUACAAACAGUCUUAGAAGUUAGAGACGUACUUUGGGAGGCCGAGGCAGGCAGAUCACGAGGUCAGGAGAUCGAGAUCAUCCUGGCUAACACGGUGAA